rnacentral:rRNA from 1 species
AACGAACGCUGGCGGCAUGCCUAACACAUGCAAGUCGAACGAGACCUUCGGGUCUAGUGGCGCACGGGUGCGUAACGCGUGGGAACCUGCCCUUAGGUUCGGAAUAACUCCCCGAAAGGGGUGCUAAUACCGGAUAAUGUCUUCGGACCAAAGAUUUAUCGCCUUUGGAUGGGCCCGCGUUGGAUUAGCUAGUUGGUAGGGUAAAAGCCUACCAAGGCGACGAUCCAUAGCUGGUCUGAGAGGAUGAUCAGCCACACUGGGACUGAGACACGGCCCAGACCCCUAGGGGGGGCGGGGGUGGGGAAAUUAGGAAAAGGGGCAAAAUCCUGACCCGCAAAGGCCGGGGGGGUGAGAAAGGCCUUGGGGUUGUAAACCUCUUUUCCCGGGGUGGAAAAGGAAAGAACGGGGAAAAAAACCCCCGGCAAACUCCGU